UAUUACCGCGGCUGCUGGUGCUGCUGCACAUCGAGUUCUUCAACAAUCUGGGGCAACACGCAUUGCAACAGGCGCAGCCCGGCCAGGCACGCCUGGCCUUUGAGCGCGGCGUGCAAUACCUGCGCAAGCAGCCCGAGCCGGCCACCUACAGCCAGCACUUGCAACUCCUGGAAAAACAAUUGGCACGCGCCAACUCCAUGGUGCUGACCAACAGCCAGCAGCCGCGGUAAUA
rnacentral:rRNA from 1 species